GCCUUUGUGGUGUAGUGGUUCUGCACGCUGGGCCGUUAUUCCAGAGGUCCGUGGUUCGAUUCCCGGCGAAGGCG
rnacentral:tRNA from 1 species